UGGCGGACGGGUGAGUAACGCGUGGGUAACCUGCCCUGUACAGGGGGAUAACAGCUGGAAACGGCUGCUAAUACCGCAUAAGCGCACGAGGAGACAUCCCCUUGUGUGAAAAACUCCGGUGGUACAGGAUGGGCCCGCGUCCGAUUAGCUAGUUGGUGAGGUAACGGCCCACCAAGGCAACGAUCGGUAGCCGGACUGAGAGGUUGAACGGCCACAUUGGGACUGAGACACGGUCCAA
rnacentral:rRNA from 1 species